UAGUCCACGCCGUAAACGAUGUGCACUAGAUAAGGGAGGUAUUGACCCCUUCCGUGUCGUAGCUAACGCAUUAAGUGCACCGCCUGGGGAGUACGGUCGCAAGACUAAAACUCAAAUGAAUUGACGGGGGCCCGCACAAGCGGUGGAGCAUGUGGUUUAAUUCGAUGCAACGCGAAGAACCUUACCUACUCUUGACAUCCAGAGAAGCUUGAAGAGAUUCGAGUGUGCCUUCGGGAACUCUGAGACAGGUGCUGCAUGGCUGUCGUCAGCUCGUGUUGUGAAAUGUUGGGUUAAGUCCCGCAACGAGCGCAACCCUUAUCCUUGUUUGCCAGCACGUAAUGGUGGGAACUCCAGGGAGACUGCCGGUGAUAAACCGGGAGGAAGGUGGGGACGACGUCAAGGUCAUCAUGGCCCUUACGAGUAGGGGCUACACACGUGCUACAAUGGCGUAUACAGAGGGCUGCCAACUCGCGAGAGUGAGCGAAUCCCAGAAA
rnacentral:rRNA from 1 species